CGCCUUUGUGUUGCCCAUUCAUUUCUGUCCAGAAUGAAUGUGGUGUCAAAAAAGGCAAACAGAAAAUCUUGCUCAGAACAGUUUAAGGAGAGGUUUUUUUACCUUUGUUCUCCCUGUUUUAGCAAGGACAAAA